AUUGAACGCUGGCGGCAGGCCUAACACAUGCAAGUCGAACGAGUGGCGGACGGGUGAGUAAUGUCUGGGAAACUGCCUGAUGGAGGGGGAUAACUACUGGAAACGGUAGCUAAUACCGCAUACCAUCGGAUGUGCCCAGAUGGGAUUAGCUAGUAGGUGGUGGAAAGGCUCACCUAGGCGACGAUCCCUAGCUGGUCGGAGAGGGUGACCAGCCACACUGGAACUGAGACACGGUCCAGACUCCUACGGGAGGAAGCAGUGGGGAAUAUUGCAAAAUGGGCGAAAGCCGGAUGCAGCCAUGCCGCGUGUAUGAAGAAGGCCUUCGGGUUGUAAAGUACUUUCAGCGGGGAGGCGUUACCCGCAGAAGAAGCACCGGCUAACUCCGUGCCAGCAGCCGCGGUAAUUC
rnacentral:rRNA from 1 species